UACGUAGGUGGCAAACGUUGUCCGGAUUUACUGGGUGUAAAGGGCGCGUAGGCGGGAUGUCAAGUCAGAUGUGAAAUCUCCGGGCUCAACCCGGAAACUGCAUUUGAAACUGACGUUCUUGAGUAUCGGAGAGGCAAGCGGAAUUCCUAGUGUAGCGGUGAAAUGCGUAGAUAUUAGGAGGAACACCAGUGGCGAAGGCGGCUUGCUGGACGACAACUGACGCUGAGGCGCGAAAGUGCGGGGAUCGAAC
rnacentral:rRNA from 1 species